rnacentral:rRNA from 1 species
CCUACGGGUUGCACCAGUGGGGAAUAUUGCACAAUGGGCGCAAGCCUGAUGCAGCCAUGCCGCGUGUAUGAAGAAGGCCUUCGGGUUGUAAAGUACUUUCAGCGGGGAGGAAGGUGUUGUGGUUAAUAACCGCAGCAAUUGACGUUACCCGCAGAAGAAGCACCGGCUAACUCCGUGCCAGCAGCCGCGGUAAUACGGAGGGUGCAAGCGUUAAUCGGAAUUACUGGGCGUAAAGCGCACGCAGGCGGUUGAUUAAGUUAGAUGUGAAAUCCCCGGGCUUAACCUGGGAAUGGCAUCUAAGACUGGUCAGCUAGAGUCUUGUAGAGGGGGGUAGAAUUCCAUGUGUAGCGGUGAAAUGCGUAGAGAUGUGGAGGAAUACCGGUGGCGAAGGCGGCCCCCUGGACAAAGACUGACGCUCAGGUGCGAAAGCGUGGGGAGCAAACAGGAUUAGAUACCCCUGUAGUC